ACGAGACGGGAUGGAAUGACCCUUCGGGGGAAUGAAAUCCUAGAAAGUGGCGAACGGGUGAGUAACGCGUGGGUAACCUGCCCUAUGGAAAGGAAUAGCCUCGGGAAACUGGGAGUAAUGCCUUAUAAUAUACGAGAGUCGCAUGGCUUUUGUAUUAAACGCUCCGGUGCCAUAGGAUGGACCCGCGUCCCAUUAGCUAGUUGGUGAGAUAACAGCCCACCAAGGCAACGAUGGGUAACCGGUCUGAGAGGGCGAACGGUCACACUGGAACUGAGACACGGUCCAGACUCCUACGGGAGGCAGCAGUGGGGAAUAUUGCGCAAUGGGGGCAACCCUGACGCAGCAAUACCGCGUGAGUGAAGAAGGUUUUCGGAUCGUAAAGCUCUGUUAUUGGGGAAGAAAAAAGACGGUACCCAAGAAGAAAGUCCCGGCUAACUACGUGCCAGCAGCCGCGGUAAUACGUAGGGGACAAGCGUUGUCCGGAUUUACUGGGCGUAAAGGGCACGCAGGCGGUUUUUUAAGUCAGAUGUGAAAGGUACCGGCUCAACCGGUGACAUGCAUUUGAAACUGAAAGACUUGAGUAUUGGAGAGGCAAGUGGAAUUCCUAGUGUAGCGGUGAAAUGCGUAGAUAUUAGGAGGAACACCGGUGGCGAAGGCGGCUUGCUGGGACA
rnacentral:rRNA from 1 species